ACCACAUAUGCAUGCGUGUGUUGUGUGUACAGCCAUGUCUGCAGGGUGAGGUGGAGGCCGAUGCUUUGGCAGCAGGUCUGGCACGUCUUUCAGGCCCAAACCUGCACAGAAGAGAGUGAGAGAAGAGAGGCAGAAAGCAAAUAGGCUAGAGCUCAGGUUUCUGGUACAUCCAUGCUUCCUAGGAGAUGAGGUCCCCCACACGCCCCCCUUGCGCAUCUACCCCUUGAGCCCUUCACCCCACCCCGCAAAGGGUCUCCAACACUCUUUAAACUAAAUACCCUCCCUCAUCUGGAAAGGAUGAGGUGAGGGUAUUGAUUUGGUUGCAAUCUGCAUCAACUUUAAACGUCAUUACAUCCUUUAAAUUGGAGCUGCAUAGUCAGUAUGACAUUGUUUCUUUUAUUAAUCUGUAAGAGAUGAUCUACUGAUUUUAAGGCAUUUAAGGUUAAUUUCCAGUUGAGAGACUUCAGAGUUUCAACAAGAAAAAAAACUGAAUAAACACAAAACAUUGUAAGAUAAAAGGCAAAUAACAAACUAACCAUAUUCUCUAUUCAGCAUGUCAAUACUUACACUAUACCUCUUUACUUAUAACACCACCACGAUCUCGUGUGCAUCACCACAUGCAUCUUUUGCCAUUUUACCUUUAAAACAUACAGUAUUAUUCAUAUGAGUCCACAAACAGAGACUUACAAAAGCUAACAAACCUGAGAUUUGACCAUCUUACACUCUCCAUACCCCCUUCAACUGGAGGAGGUUUUGAGAGAGAAAAUUAGUUUGAAAUAAGAUUUGAAAAAGUAUGUAAUGAGAUACUUUGCCAAUGAUUACUUGAUUGCUUCAUAAAAGCUUAAACAAUAAAACUGUGUUUUUGUUUGUUUGUUUACUGAUUUGACCAGUUCUGUGCUGAAUAUGUUCAAUUCCAAAUCCCGAGUUUCUCCUGUCAAGUUGAUGAUUUUGCAAGUAUUUGUUUAAAUUAAUUUAUACUGAAAAUGGAGGGGCGAACAUAUCUAGUAAGGCCCCGCUCUUGUGUUAAGAUUAAAGUCCCUCUAAAUCCUGUGAAAGUCUCAUCUGUGUACCUCCAAAUUGUACAAUUUGAGCUCUUGACAUGGAAAAUAACACAUGCUUUUAAUGUUUUUCAGAAUUUGACUGCAUUGUCUUUUUUGAUGAAAAAAAGCAGCUCUUUAUAAAAAAAAAAAAAGAGAGAGAGAGAUGGUACAAGGCCUUAUACUCAUAGCCCUGACCUCAACAUGAAGCAGUGCUGCAUCCAACUUCUGAAGAGGAGCUUUGAAUGUCCUUCUAACAGCCUGAAGAUUACUUAACAAAUUACAAGAAAGCUUGUCUUAUGGGGUUCAGGCUGUGUUGAAGACUAAAGUGAAACUUGUUUCUUUCAGGGUAUAUAUUGUGCCUUGUGCUUGUCCUGCUUUACUGUUGGUGUUGUAUUGCUGCUGGUACCCAAAUUUCCCUGAGGGCUCUCCGAAGGGAUUAAUAAAGUAUUUCUAUUCUAUUCUAUUCUAUUCUAAAUGGUCUAAUAAAUAA